rnacentral:rRNA from 1 species
UACGGGGGGGGUAAGCGUUGUUCGGAAUUACUGGGCGUAAAGGGCGCGUAGGCGGCUUUUCAAGUGACGGGUGAAAGCCCUCGGCUUAACCGAGGAACUGCCUGUCAGACUGGAAGGCUUGAGACCGGGAGAGGUGAGUGGAAUUCCCAGUGUAGCGGUGAAAUGCGUAGAUAUUGGGAGGAACACCAGUGGCGAAGGCGGCUCACUGGACCGGAACUGACGCUGAGGCGCGAAAGCGUGGGGAGCAAACAGG